GGCGUGCCUAAUACAUGCAAGUCGAACGCUUCUUUUUCCACCGGAGCUUGCUCCACCGGAAAAAGAGGAGUGGCGAACGGGUGAGUAACACGUGGGUAACCUGCCCAUCAGAAGGGGAUAACACUUGGAAACAGGUGCUAAUACCGUAUAACAAUCAAAACCGCAUGGUUUUGAUUUGAAAGGCGCUUUCGGGUGUCGCUGAUGGAUGGACCCGCGGUGCAUUAGCUAGUUGGUGAGGUAACGGCUCACCAAGGCCACGAUGCAUAGCCGACCUGAGAGGGUGAUCGGCCACAUUGGGACUGAGACACGGCCCAAACUCCUACGGGAGGCAGCAGUAGGGAAUCUUCGGCAAUGGACGAAAGUCUGACCGAGCAACGCCGCGUGAGUGAAGAAGGUUUUCGGAUCGUAAAACUCUGUUGUUAGAGAAGAACAAGGAUGAGAGUAACUGUUCAUCCCUUGACGGUAUCUAACCAGAAAGCCACGGCUAACUACGUGCCAGCAGCCGCGGUAAUACGUAGGUGGCAAGCGUUGUCCGGAUUUAUUGGGCGUAAAGCGAGCGCAGGCGGUUUCUUAAGUCUGAUGUGAAAGCCCCCGGCUCAACCGGGGAGGGUCAUUGGAAACUGGGAGACUUGAGUGCAGAAGAGGAGAGUGGAAUUCCAUGUGUAGCGGUGAAAUGCGUAGAUAUAUGGAGGAACACCAGUGGCGAAGGCGGCUCUCUGGUCUGUAACUGACGCUGAGGCUCGAAAGCGUGGGGAGCAAACAGGAUUAGAUACCCUGGUAGUCCACGCCGUAAACGAUGAGUGCUAAGUGUUGGAGGGUUUCCGCCCUUCAGUGCUGCAGCUAACGCAUUAAGCACUCCGCCUGGGGAGUACGACCGCAAGGUUGAAACUCAAAGGAAUUGACGGGGGCCCGCACAAGCGGUGGAGCAUGUGGUUUAAUUCGAAGCAACGCGAAGAACCUUACCAGGUCUUGACAUCCUUUGACCACUCUAGAGAUAGAGCUUCCCCUUCGGGGGCAAAGUGACAGGUGGUGCAUGGUUGUCGUCAGCUCGUGUCGUGAGAUGUUGGGUUAAGUCCCGCAACGAGCGCAACCCUUAUUGUUAGUUGCCAUCAUUCAGUUGGGCACUCUAGCAAGACUGCCGGUGACAAACCGGAGGAAGGUGGGG
rnacentral:rRNA from 1 species